rnacentral:rRNA from 1 species
UACGAAGGGGGCUAGCGUUGCUCGGAAUCACUGGGCGUAAAGGGUGCGUAGGCGGACUCUUAAGUCGGUGGUGAAAUCCUGGAGCUCAACUCCAGAACUGCCUCCGAUACUGGGAGUCUUGAGUCCGGGAGAGGUGAGUGGAACUGCGAGUGUAGAGGUGAAAUUCGUAGAUAUUCGCAAGAACACCAGUGGCGAAGGCGGCUCACUGGCCCGGUACUGACGCUGAGGUGCGAAAGCGUGGGGAGCAAACAGG